CCCUUAGAUGUUCUGGGCCGCACGCGCGCUACACUGACUGGUUCAUCGAGUAUACAACCUUGACUGAUAGGUCUGGGUAAUCUUCUCAAAGCCAGUCGUGCUGGGGAUAGAUUAUUGUAAUUUUUAAUCUUCAACGAGGAAUUCCUAGUAAACGCGAGUCAUCAACUCGCAUUGAAUACGUCCCUGCCCUUUGUACACACCGCCCGUCGCUCCUACCGAUUGAGUGGUCCGGUGAGGCUUUGGGAUCUGAGCGGAAAGAGCGUUUCGCUGUUUCUGCUCGGAAAACUCAGUCGAACCUUAUCAUUUAGAGGAAGGAGAAGUCGUAACA
rnacentral:rRNA from 1 species